rnacentral:rRNA from 1 species
GACGAACGCUGGCGGCGUGCCUAAUACAUGCAAGUAGAACGCUGAAGGAGGAGCUUGCUCUUCUGGAUGAGUUGCGAACGGGUGAGUAACGCGUAGGUAACCUGCCUGGUAGCGGGGGAUAACUAUUGGAAACGAUAGCUAAUACCGCAUAACAGUAGAUGUUGCAUGACAUUUGCUUAAAAGGUGCAAUUGCAUCACUAUCAGAUGGACCUGCGUUGUAUUAGCUAGUUGGUGGGGUAACGGCUCACCAAGGCGACGAUACAUAGCCGACCUGAGAGGGUGAUCGGCCACACUGGGACUGAGACACGGCCCAGACUCCUACGGGAGGCAGCAGUAGGGAAUCUUCGGCAAUGGACGGAAGUCUGACCGAGCAACGCCGCGUGAGUGAAGAAGGUUUUCGGAUCGUAAAGCUCUGUUGUAAGAGAAGAACGAGUGUGAGAGUGGAAAGUUCACACUGUGACGGUAUCUUACCAGAAAGGGACGGCUAACUACGUG